rnacentral:rRNA from 1 species
GAUGAACGCUGGCGGCGUGCCUAAUACAUGCAAGUCGAGCGAACGGACGAGAAGCUUGCUUCUCUGAUGUUAGCGGCGGACGGGUGAGUAACACGUGGAUAACCUACCUAUAAGACUGGGAUAACUUCGGGAAACCGUAGCUAAUACCGGAUAAUAUUUUGAACCGCAUGGUUCAAAAGUGAAAGACGGUCUUGCUGUCACUUAUAGAUGGAUCCGCGCUGCAUUAGCUAGUUGGUAAGGUAACGGCUUACCAAGGCAACGAUGCAUAGCCGACCUGAGGGGGUGAUCGGCCACACUGGAACUGAGACACGGUCCAGACUCCUACGGGAGGCAGCAGUAGGGAAUCUUCCGCAAUGGGCGAAAGCCUGACGGAGCAACGCAGCGUGAGUGAUGAAGGUCUUCGGAUCGUAAAACUCUGUUAUUAGGGAAGAACAUAUGUGUAAGUAACUGUGCACAUCUUGACGGUACCUAAUCAGAAAGCCACGGCUAACUACGUG